UUAGGCCUGUGAUAUAGGUCGCUCUAAUAUGUUCAACCUACAAAUGACUAAGGGAGUCUAACGUUAUGGCAGCUGUCAGGCCCUCCAAGCAGGGAAGGCAAAAACCGUAACCGGGACACCCACCUGCGAGAAGCGGGGUUUGAACAUGGCGAGGGACGGUAUCACGGGUUUCCG
rnacentral:other from 1 species